AUUGAACGCUGGCGGAAUGCUUUACACAUGCAAGUCGAACGGCAGCACGGACUUCGGUCUGGUGGCGAUUGGCGAACGGGUGAGUAAUGUAUCGGAACGUGCCCAGUCGUGGGGGAUAACGUAGUGAAAAUUACGCUAAUACCGCAUACGAUCUAUGGAUGAGAGCGGGGGAUCGCAAGACCUCGCGCGAUUGGAGCGGCCGAUAUCGGGUUAGGUAGUUGGCGGGGUAAAGGCCCACCCAGCCAACGAUCCGUAGCUGGUCUGCGAGGACGGCCAGCCAGACUGGAACUGGUACACGGGCCAGACUCCUACGGGAGGCAGCAGUGGGGAAUUUUGGACAAUGGGCGAAAGCCUGAUCCAGCCAUUCCGCGUGCAGGAUGAAGUCCCUCGGGUUGUAAACUGCUUUUGUACAGAACGAAAAGGUUUCUACUAAUACUAGGAGCUCAUGACGGUACUGUAAGAAUAAGCACCGGCUAACUACGUGCCAGCCGCCGCCGUAA
rnacentral:rRNA from 1 species